rnacentral:Y_RNA from 1 species
GGCUGGACCAAAGGUAGUGAGUUAUCUCGAGUGAUUGUUCACAGUUGCAGAUCCAACUCCUUUGCCCUAUUCUCUUCCCCAUUCCCACCAUUGCACUUGACUAGUCUUAA